rnacentral:tRNA from 2 species
AGGGGUGUAGUUCAGCUGGUAGAGCGUCGGUCUCCAAAACCGGAUGUCGUGGGUUCGAAUCCCUCCGCCCCUGCCA